UACGUAGGGGACAAGCGUUGUCCGGAUUUAUUGGGCGUAAAGAGCUCGUAGGUGGUUUGGUAAGUCGGAUGUGAAAUCUCCGGGCUUAACCCGGAACGGUCAGGUGAUACUGUUUUGCUAGAGUCCGGAAGGGGCGAGUGGAAUUCCUGGUGUAGCGGUGAAAUGCGCAGAUAUCAGGAAGAACACCCGUGGCGAAGGCGGCUCUCUGGGACGGUACUGGACGCUGAGACGCGAAAGCGUGGGGAGCGAACAGG
rnacentral:rRNA from 1 species